rnacentral:rRNA from 1 species
UUAAGCAUAUCAAUAAGCGGAGGAAAAGAAACUAACAAGGAUUCCCUUAGUAACUGCGAGUGAAGCGAGAAGAGCUCAAAUUUGAAAUCUGGCAGUUUUUGACUGUCCGAGUUGUAAUCUAGAGAAGUGUUACCUGUGCUGGACCAUGUACAAGUCCCCUGGAAUGGAGCAUCAUAGAGGGUGAGAAUCCCGUCUUUGACAUGGACUACCAGUGCAU